GGGACCAAUGAUGACAAAUGAUGGCGUGUGAGUCAUAUAUGAUGAGCACCAUGUGUCUGAAACUCUGAGGUCCAA
rnacentral:snoRNA from 1 species